AUGGAUUGCGGAGUCCCAGCGUUGGGGAUUCCCCAUCUCCGCAGUUUCUCUUCUUCUGACAACCUGCGUCGUGUCCUUCUUCCGGAAUACUUACGACGGGGACCCAGUUCUCACUCCCAUUGGGUGUCGGGUUUCUAGAGAUGCCAAUCAGCGUCGCCGCAGUCCCGGUUCUCAAGUCCGCACUCACCCACCAGGACUCAGAUUCUCCGCAGACGCCGAGGAUGGCGGUCAUGGCGCCCCGAACCCUCCUCCUGGUGCUCUCAGGGACCCUGGCCCUGACCCAGACCCGGGCGGGCUCUCACUCCAUGAGGUAUUUCUACACCUCCGUGUCCCGGCCCGGCCGCGGGGAGCCCCGCUUCUUCGCCGUGGGCUACGUGGACGACACGCAGUUCGUGCGGUUCGACAGCGAUGCCGAGAGUCCGAGGACGGAGCCGCGGGCGCCGUGGGUGGAGCAGGAGGGUCCAGAGUAUUGGGACCAGGAGACACAGAACAUGAAGAACGCGACACAGACCUACCGAGUGAACCUGAGGACCCUGCUCCGCUACUACAACCAGAGCGAGGCCGGGUCUCACACCAUCCAGGAGAUGUACGGCUGCGACCUGGGGCCCGACGGGCGCCUCCUCCGCGGGUAUGAACAGUUCGCCUACGACGGCAGGGAUUACAUCGCCCUGAACGAGGACCUGCGCUCCUGGACCGCCGCGGACAUGGCGGCUCAGAACACCCAGCGGAAGUGGGAGGCGGCCCGUGAGGCGGAGCAGCUGAGAGCCUACCUGGAGGGGACGUGCGUGGAGUGGCUCCGCAGAUACCUGGAGAACGGGAAGGAGACGCUGCAGCGCGCGGACCCCCCCAAGACACAUGUGACCCACCACCCCGUCUCUGACCAUGAGGCCACCCUGAGGUGCUGGGCCCUGGGCUUCUACCCUGCGGAGAUCACACUGACCUGGCAGCGGGAUGGAGAGGAACAAACUCAGGACACAGAGCUCGUGGAGACCAGGCCUACAGGGGAUGGAACCUUCCAGAAGUGGGCGGCUGUGGUGGUGCCUUCUGGAGAGGAGCAGAGAUACACCUGUCAUGUGCAGCAUGAGGGUCUGCCCAAGCCCCUCACCCUGAGAUGGGAGCUGUCUUCCCAGUCCACCAUCCCCAUCGUGGGCAUCAUUGCUGGCCUGGUUCUGCUUGGAAUUGUGGUCACUGGAGCUGUGGUCGCUGCUGUGAUGUGCAGGAGGAAGAGCUCAGAUAGAUAAGGCGGGAGCUACUCUCAGGCUGCAAGCAGUGACAGUGCCCAGGGCUCUGAUGUGUCUCUCACAGCUUGUAAAGGUGAGACCCUGGGGGGCCUGAUGUGUGUGGAAUGUUGGGGGGAACAGUGGACGCAGCUGUGCUAUGGGGUUUCUUUGACUUGGAUGUAUUGAGCAUGUGAUGGGCUG